rnacentral:tRNA from 1 species
GUCUUUCUAGUUUAACUAAAACAUUAGCCUUGCACGCAAAAAUUGGAGACUACUUCUCCGAAAGACA